CAAUAGCGUAUAUUAAAAUUGUUGCGGUUAAAAAAGACUCGUAGUUGGACAACUGGCGGAGGGGCCCGGUCCACCCGCAGGGUGAGCACAUGGAUCGACUUUGCCAGCUCCUUGGAAGCAGUCUUGAUGCUUCGCUGUGUCAGACGGCAUUCAAGAACUUUACUUUGAGGAAAUUAGAGUGUUCCAAGCAGGCACAUGCCUCGAAUACAUUAGCAUGGAAUAAUAAGAUCGGACCCCAUGUCUGUUUUGUAGGUUUCCAGAUAGAGGGUAAUGACUAUUAGGGAUAGCCGGGGGCAUUCGUAUUUGACUGUCAGAGGUGAAAUUCUUGGAUUUGUUGAGGACGAACCACUGCGAAAGCAUUUGCCAUGGAUGUUUUCAUUGAUCAAGAACGAAAGUUAGGGGAUCGAAGACGA
rnacentral:rRNA from 1 species